rnacentral:tRNA from 1 species
GGGGUUGUUGCUCAGUGGCAGAGCACUCGCCUAGCAAGUGUGAGGCACUGGGUUCAAUGCUCAGCACCACA